rnacentral:rRNA from 1 species
AAAACAGCCCUACGGGAGGCAGCAGUAGGGAAUAUUGGGCAAUGGACGAAAGUCUGACCCAGCCAUGCCGCGUGCAGGAAGAAGGUCCAUCGGAUUGUAAACUGCUUUUAUCCGGGAAUAAGGUCUUUGUAACUCAAGGACUUGAAGGUACCGGGGGAAUAAGGACCGGCUAACUACGUGCCAGCAGCCGCGGUAAUACGUAGGGUCCAAGCGUUGUCCGGAUUUACUGGGUUUAAAGGGUGCGCAGGCGGGCGUGCAAGUCGGUGAUGAAAUGUCAGGGCUCAACCUUGGCGCUGUUGCCGAAACUGCAUGUCUUGAGCGUGGUUGAGGUACCUGGAAC